rnacentral:rRNA from 1 species
AGUGGGGAAUUUUGGACAAUGGGCGCAAGCCUGAUCCAGCAAUGCCGCGUGAGUGAAGAAGGCCUUCGGGUUGUAAAGCUCUUUUGUCAGGGAAGAAACGGUUCAGGCUAAUAUCCUGGGCUAAUGACGGUACCUGAAGAAUAAGCACCGGCUAACUACGUGCCAGCAGCCGCGGUAAUACGUAGGGUGCAAGCGUUAAUCGGAAUUACUGGGCGUAAAGCGUGCGCAGGCGGUUUUGUAAGUCUGUCGUGAAAGCCCCGGGCUUAACCUGGGAAUUGCGAUGGAGACUGCAAGGCUUGAAUCUGGCAGAGGGGGGUAGAAUUCCACGUGUAGCAGUGAAAUGCGUAGAGAUGUGGAGGAACACCGAUGGCGAAGGCAGCCCCCUGGGUCAAGAUUGACGCUCAUGCACGAAAGCGUGGGGAGCAAACAGGAUUAGAUACCCUGGUAGUCCACGCCCUAAACGAUGUCUACUAGUUGUCGGGUCUUAAUUGACUUGGUAACGCAGCUAACGCGUGAAGUAGACCGCCUGGGGAGUACGGUCGCAAGAUUAAAACUCAAAGGAAUUG